ensembl:lncRNA GOLGA2P5 GOLGA2 pseudogene 5
UUAACAUUCCUAGCUGCAGGUAGCCUCAAACCGGGCGAUGCAAUCAAUGCCACUUUCCCAAACAUUCCUUCCUGUGUUAAAGAACAAAGCCGGGAAAGUAAUGGAUUCCACUUUAGCUGGGAGGUCUGUCAUGGGGAAUAAGCCCAUAUGCUCCAGUUAGGCAAUUAUAACAUCUUAGACUGGAGCCCCCACAGCCACUUGCAGGGCAGCCUUACUAAUGUCCUCAUCCAUCAUGGCACCAAUCACAGUUUCAUAGCCACGUCCCAUUCCCCUAUGAUUUGGGCCUAUGGGGGGAUAGGAUAUUCCAGACCCCAAGUAAAGUCCAUGCCACCCCAAGACACUUUGUGGUGCCUGGGACAUCUUAGCACCUCCUUUGACACCUGGCAUUGGACAUAUCAUAAUUCCAGUCACAACUAUACUACAACCUUUAUUCAUAAUCACACUGAUCAGUGCCUGAUUUGCACUACCCAUCCAUAUGUUUUCCUUGUGGGAACUAAUAUUUCUGUUAUACCCCAAAACUCCAUGUUUGUGACCCAGGUGCAGGGACAGCCUUGGUUCACCUCAUGUAUUACUAAUUACAAUAUAUCUAAUUAUAAAUAUUACUAGAGUCGUGGUAUUAAGGAGACAAUCUGAGGCAUUCCCACCAGUCAAUUUGACAUGCGGUUGGCAAGGUUCCUCUUCCCUUCCCACUUUAGAUCGUGCCCUGUCCCAGGUCAGACCCGAAAGAUUCAUAGGCACACUUACAGCCUUCAUAGUCUCAGCCAUAGUCAUCCUAGCAACUGCUAGUGUGGCUGUAGCAUCUAUUACUGAAUCAGUACAAACAGCUGCUUUUGUAGAUAAUUUGGCCAGAAAUGUUUCUAAUGAACUUCUCUUACAGCAAGGUAUAGAUCAAAAGAUUCUUGCACAUCUGCAAGCCCUCGAGGCUGCCUUUGGAAUAUGUGGGGGAGCGACAAGAUGCACUGGCAUUCCAACAGCAAUUAAACUGUGACUGGGAGCAUAAACAUAUCUGUGUCACUUCUCUACCAUGGAAUCAGUCAAUGCAUAGUUGGGAUGAGGUGAAACAACACCUCUGGGGAACCUUUCAUGACAAUUUAACAGCAGACAUAAGGCAACUUAAAAAUACAAUUUUAGAAUCCCUUCAAACUGUAGAUCUACACACCCAACAAACAGCCAUAUGGAAGGGUGUGUGAGAUUAUCUCUCCUGGAUAGACCACCGCUCCUGGGGGCGGGGGGUGGUGGGUCACUCCUUGAUUAGAAAAGAAUGUUGCUAAUUAUACUCAUGUUUGUCUUAUGUUAUUUACUAAUUUUAGGAUGCAAAGCCGGAAUAAGAGCAAUGACCACCAUGCCUGACAGACCUGUUGCUGCGCACACCUGUACUCUCCAAUGAACAAGACUGAAUGCAAAAAAAACAGAAAAUGGGGAGAUUUAGGGGAUCAGUCAGUGUGGUUGGAAAAUUGUAAGAUGAAGUUACAGGAUAUAGACACAAACCUUCUUGGAAGGCCAGAAGGUGGAGCUGAAGAGCCAGGAGGCUCAGAGUCUGCAGCAGCAGCAGGACCAGUACCUGGGUCAUCUGCAGCAGUAUGUGGCCACCUAUCAGCAGCAGGUGGUCACCUAUCAGCAGCUGACCUCUGAGGAGGAGGAGCUGCACAACCAGUUACUGCUGCAGACCCAGCUCGUGGACCGGCUGCAGCAGCAGAAAGCUCAAAGCAAAGCUGUGGCCAAGAUGGGCUGCCAAGAGUUGCGGGAGACCCAGGAGCACCUGGAAGCUAUCAGCCAGCAGAACCAGCAGCCUCAGGCCCAGUUGAGCCUCAUGGCUCUCCCUGGGGAAGGAGAUGGACAGUGAGGAGGAGGAGGAGGUGCCUCAGCCCAUGCCAAGCAUCCCGGAGGAUCUAGAGAGCCAGAAGGCCAUGGUGGCAUUUUUCAACUCAGCUGUAGCUAGUGCCGAGGAGGAGCAGGCACGGCUAUGUGGGCAGCUGAAGGAGUGCACUGCCAGCGCCUGGCUCAUCUGUUGGCCUCGGCCCAGAAGGAACCUGAGGCAGCAGCCCCAGCCCCAAGAACUGGGGGUGAUCCCAUGUGUGGGGAGACCCACCAGGCCCUGCAGGGGGCCAUGGAGAAGCUGUGGAGCCGCUUUAUGGAGCUCAUGCAGGAGAGAAGGUGGACUUGAAGGAGAGGGUUGAGGAACUGGAACAUUGCUGCAUCUAGCUGUCUGGAGAGAGACAGACACCAUCGGGGAGUGGGAAGCCAGGGCACGGCAAAGAGAGCUGCACAUUGGUCAGAGGGGCCCCAGCGUCUGAGUCCUGUCCUCCUGCAGGAGAGUACAUCGCACUGUACCAGAGCCAGAGGGCAGUGCGGAAGGAGGAGGAGUGCAUCAGCAGGCUGGCCCAGGACAAGGGAGAGGUGAAGGUGAAGCUGCUGGAGCUGGCGUGGCUUGUGGACGACUGCAACAAGUGGCAUAGCAGAUUCCUGGCAGCUGCCCAGAACCCUGCUGAUGAGCCCACUCCAGGGGCCCCCGCCCCCCAGUAGCUUGGGGCUACUGACAAGCCAGGGUAGUGAGUAGAGUCCUCAGGCACAGUGGGCACGCAGGAGCAGGGGAGGGCUCCCACAGCACCCUGCCUCCCUCUCUCCAAAGAUCUUUGUGAGGUGAGCCUUGCCAGCAGUGGGGAGUCUGCACAAGGAGAGGCGGGGAAGCAUUCUCCCUGUGACAACCCCACUGAGCAGCAGAUCAUGCAACUGCUUCAUGAGAUGCAGAACCUCCAGGAGCACCCAGGCUUGGGCAGCAGCCCUUGCAUUCCUUUUUUGUACCAGACUGAUGAGAACAAUGAGGUGAAGAUCACCAUCAUCUAAAAGCCGGCCACUGUCAGCAAAACCUGGGGAAGUGGGGCUGGAGGCUCUGCCCCUACCAUGUCCCUACCACCCCUUCCCAGUCAACCCUUUACCCUCACAGUAGCAAGCAUAAGACCCCUGUCUAAUGUGGGGAGACAGGUGGAGAUGAGGUGAAGAUCACCAUAAUCUAAAAGGCCACUAAAUAAAAAAAUAAAAAAUUUUAAAAAGGUAUGGGAUUUUAAAAAAAAUGUAUGGGAUUAUAAAAAGUUAUAGGAUUAAAAA